UACGUAGGGUCCGAGCGUUGUCCGGAAUUACUGGGCGUAAAGGGCUCGUAGGCGGCCAACUAAGUCGGAUGUGAAAUCCCCAGGCUUAACCUGGGAACUGCAUCCGAUACUGGAUGGCUUGAAUUCGGGAGAGGGAUGCAGAAUUCCAGGUGUAGCGGUGAAAUGCGUAGAUAUCUGGAGGAAUACCGGUGGCGAAGGCGGCAUCCUGGACCGAGAUUGACGCUGAUGAGCGAAAGCUAGGGGAGCAAACGGG
rnacentral:rRNA from 1 species